CAGAGACCAUUCAGAGAUAGGAUCGACUCCCCCCGCCCCGUCUAUAUCCCCCUUUCCCUCCCAAACGGCAUACAGGAGACGAUGCACAAGAAAGUAUGUGCUUACUUGCUGACUGACAUGGGUUAACGCACAGGAGAGUAAGCGCAACCGCAGUUCUGGCUACAGUCCCGAACAGUACCAUCCAUGGUCGUCUUGUCAGUGGUAGUGGUGAGGAGCACAAGCAAGUAAUUUUUCUGAAGAGAUAGCUGCCUGCCUUUGCCAUGGCUUAUCAACAGAAUGGCAAUAGCUAAGUUCUGGAGUGACUCUAUUACUUCCCCUUUUUUUCCCUUUUGGCAGAUUUAAAUAAAGAUGGCAGUCUUACUUAUU